rnacentral:lncRNA from 1 species
UCAUCCUCAAGAUUUACAACACGAAAAUGUAGACGUUGUCUUUUUACCAAAGAAUGCAAAUUCCUUAUUACAGCCAUUAGAUCAAGGAAUAAUUUUGACUUUUAAGGCAUUGUAUAUCAAACAAACCUUCAGGUGUAUUUUAGAGCAAAUGGAGAAUGAUGAAUCUCUUACUCUUAUGGAUGUUUGGAAGAAAUUUACAAUCUUAAAUUGUGAUAAGCAUAUUGGACUGUCUAAUACUCAGAUUAAACAAUCAACGCUCAACGCAUGCUGGAAAGCAGUAUGGCCAGAUGCUGUUAAAGAUUGAGAAUGAUAGAUUACCAUUAGAGCAUGAAUAUUCUCAGAUCACUAAUCAGCGUAGGAGUUUGGGAAGAAAAUUAGGUAAUCAUUUUUUACAAUCUAACAUAAAUGUUGAAUGAGCUCUCCGAUUCCAAUGAGAGCUUAGUAAUCAAUAUGAGAAAAAAUCAAUAUGAGGAAGUUGAGAAAGAUUUGAGAAAAAAAACCUAGGCAAUUGUUAACUACGGAUUUCACUCAAAGUCUUGUCAAUCUGAGAUCUUCCCAUUCGUCAACCAUUGAAACAGAAUCUUAUCAAGAAUGCUCAAGUGAUGAAAGUGAUAUCAUACCAAUCAAGAAGAAACACUAAUAGUUUAUGAAAGUGAUGACAGUGAUUAAACUUAUAAUAAUUUUUUUGAAUGAUCUAAUAUUUUCAUAAUGUAAAAUAAAUAAAAUGCAUACUUCUAUUACCUAAAUAUAUUUAUUUUAUGAAAAAGUAUAACUUUAUUUAUUUUAAGAUGUCUUACUUUUGUUUUACGCAAAUAAGUAACUAAAUUAUAUACAUUUAGUGUGUUUUUCAUUUUAUACGGUUUUACAUAGCAAAAUCCAAGAUUUCAAUUUACACGGUUUUGUCCGAAACCUAUCUUCCAUGUAAAUUGAGAGAUAGGCAUAGUUAAUACAUGAAACUCUAAGCGUGUUUUAUAUUCCUUUCUGUUCAGCCUGCAAAAUUUGAUUUCACAUGAGCUGGUGCCCAGAGAUCUUUGUAGAAUUUGAUAGAAGAAUAUCAUUUUCUAAAUUGUGUAGUGUCAGCCAACAGUGAAUGAUGCAGCCCGAGCAAAAUGUAUGUUGUCAGUCAACAAUAAUUGAUGCAAUCCAAACGGAAAGUAUAGUGUUUGUUACCAGUGAUUGGCAUGGUCUGAAUGGAAAGUAUGGUGUUAGUCAUCGAUGAUUGACAUGGUGCUUAAUGUGUUAAGAAAUAGUAUCAUUAUACUUAUAAUUUUCUUUUAAAUGGCCAGGAAAAGAAUUUCUUCUGUUCCAAAUCAAUAAUAUUUGGAGUGGUCACAUCUCAUGAUAUCUGAAGGCAGUUGCACUUAUGUAUAUACAAGUUUUACUUAUUAGAUAUAUUGGGUCAUGCAUAUUCUUAAAUCUGCAGAAACUUGCCAAAAUAUAUUUUGUUAUUAUCUGAUGAAUUAAAAUUAAACAAUAACAAAAUAACAAUAGUAAUUGUACAUUUUACUAAAAAUUCAAAAGCUUACUGCAAAAUCUCUCAGCUCUGUGAGCCAAGAUGAACUAGAGUCUCGUCUUCAUGCUCUAACUGAAAACCUCAUCCAAAAGCAAACCCUUGUUGAAGCACUAAGUACAGAAAAGAAUUCCUUAGUUCUUCAGCUUGAAAGAUUGGAGCAACAACUGCGAGAUGCUCAGAAUUUUGGGAUGCAACAACAUGCAUUUGUUGGUAUUAAUAAUAAUGAAACAGAACUUAAAACAAAAGCCAGUUUCUG